CCUACGGGGUGCAGCAGUGGGGAAUAUUGGACAAUGGGGGGAACCCUGAUCCAGCGACGCCGCGUGAGUGAAGAAGUAUUUCGGUAUGUAAAGCUCUAUCAGCAGGGAAGAAAGAAAUGACGGUACCUGACUAAGAAGCCCCGGCUAACUACGUGCCAGCAGCCGCGGGAAUACGUAGGGGGCAAGCGUUAUCCGGAUUUACUGGGUGUAAAGGGAGCGUAGACGGCGAUGCAAGUCUGAAGUGAAAGGCGGGGGCCCAACCCCCGGACUGCUUUGGAAACUGUAUGGCUGGAGUGCAGGAGAGGUAAGUGGAAUGCCUAGUGUAGCGGUGAAAUGCGUAGAGAUUAGGCGGAACACCAGUGGCGAAGGCGGCUUACUGGACUGUAACUGACGUUGAGGCUCGAAAGCGUGGGGAGCAAACAGGAUUAGAUACCCCAGUAGUC
rnacentral:rRNA from 1 species